AUGGAUGGACCCAGGGUGUCGCAGGAAGAUUCGUUGAACGAGAAGCUUAAGUACAUGAAUCUCAGGGAGGAGGAAGAAGACGUGGUAUUAGAGGAAGACCUGGAAGGGCUAGAGAAGGAUGCUGAAUUCAUGGCGUUGGCUAGGGUCCAUACUAACAAAAAGUUCAGUCAUGGUGCCUUCUAUGGCAACAUGAGAUCGGCUUGGAACCUGGAGCAAGAAGUGGAGUUUAGGGCAAUUGAGGAUAACCUGUUUUCGAUACAGAUGAGUUGCUUAGGAGAUUGGGAGAGGGUGAUGAACGAAGGGCCGUGGAUAUUCAGAAACUGCCCAGUAUUGCUGGUCCCGUAUGAUGGGUGA
rnacentral:rRNA from 1 species